GACGAACGCUGGCGGCGUGCUUAACACAUGCAAGUCGAACGGAAAGGCCCUGCUUUUGUGGGGUGCUCGAGUGGCGAACGGGUGAGUAACACGUGAGUAACCUGCCCUUGACUUUGGGAUAACUUCAGGAAACUGGGGCUAAUACCGGAUAGGAGCUCCUGCUGCAUGGUGGGGGUUGGAAAGUUUCGGCGGUUGGGGAUGGACUCGCGGCUUAUCAGCUUGUUGGUGGGGUAGUGGCUUACCAAGGCUUUGACGGGUAGCCGGCCUGAGAGGGUGACCGGCCAAAUGGGGACUAGGAUAGGGCCCAGGCCCCCAGGGGAGGCAGGGGGGGGGAAAAUUGCACAAGGGGGGGAAGCCGGAUGCGGCAACCCCGGGGGCGGGAUGACGGCCUUCGGGUUGAAAACCGCUUUCCCCGGGGACGAAGCGUGGGUGACGGUAAUGGGGAAAAAAGCACCGGCUAACUACGU
rnacentral:rRNA from 1 species